CCCCUCCCCCUCUUUCUUUCUUUAGCGCUGCGCUUUCCCGCCCUUUCCCGCCCGGCCGAGCCCGCCAUCCCUCCUCCUCUCGGCGAGCGCUCGGGUUAAACUACCAUGACCGGGCUCGGGAGCCUCGGAGCCAGCUAGAGGCUGCUCCGGAAUCCGCUGUUCGGAGUUGCGCCUGGGCUUCUUAUCAGAUCUCUGGCCAGAGAGAGGAACUUAGAGAUUCUUUGUGGGGUUUGGGGGAGGGGCAGAGCUUUCGGCGUGCCGUGCGUGCAACUCUCUGCCUUUGCUGCACAUCCGCGUCACCUAGGCACGCAAUUCCCUCCCCGUGAGACCCGGGCCCUGCUGUCCUUGUCUCUGUUGCUCACAUGCAAGGUGCCUGAACCCCUUUUCCAGCCUUGAAGAGGUGGUGUUUGUCUCUUUGUUGUUUUCUGGGGAUCCAAUCUAGGUCCUUGGAUUUGCUAGCCAAGUUUCUUCCCACAGACCUGCCUGCACCCUAAGACAGACACUGCCCACUCACCCCGGCCCAUCGUCCCCCUCUUGCUCCAGUCCCCCUCCAACUUUCAGUCCUCAUCAUGGGACUCCCCAGCUACAAAAAAACCUUGGCUAGCUGGUUUGCUUUUCUCCCUCUCCUUUUUUCUCCUCUCUUCUCCCUCCCCUCCCUCUCUCUAGCGCCUCCUCCCCUCUAUUCCCCACGUUGAGGGAGCGGGCUCAGUGCUUUGUUACUAGUUCCCUCUUUGGCCUCCUAGGGCACCCAUACACAAGUGGGCAAUACACUUAGAUUUUUAUUAUU
rnacentral:lncRNA from 1 species